CGUAGGGGGCUAGCGUUGUCCGGAAUCAUUGGGCGUAAAGCGCGUGUAGGCGGCCCGGUAAGUCCGCUGUGAAAGUCGGGGGCUUAACCCUCGGAUGCCGGUGGAUACUGUCGGGCUUGAGUACGGAAGAGGCGAGUGGAAUUCCUGGUGUAGCGGUGAAAUGCGCAGAUAUCAGGAGGAACACCAAUUGCGAAGGCAGCUCGCUGGGACGUAACUGACGCUGAGACGCGAAAGCGUGGGGAGCAAACAGGAUUAGAUACCCUGGUAGUCCACGCUGUAAACGAUGGGCACUAGGUGUGGGGGGUGUCGACUCCCUCCGUGCCGAAGCUAACGCAUUAAGUGCCCCGCCUGGGGAGUACGGCCGCAAGGCUA
rnacentral:rRNA from 1 species